CCAGCGUUAACCUGAUGUUACUAACAUCGCCUAUGUUCUUAUUUAUUAAUAAACUAUAUGAUUCUUUGCAUUGGUACAAAUUGACGUUCCUUCGGGCCAUGACCACGACAACCAAGCAAGUUACCAUUUGGACAUCAUCUAACCACGGUGCGCCAAUACAGCUGGCAAACACUUAAACUAACUUAAAAUUAACUUACGUUGCGCUCAUCGGUUAUAUCCAUGCCUUUUCAUUGUGCUUUCGGGGCUGCACACAACUGCCCCGUAGCUGCUGCGCCUUGGGCGCUGCACGUCUCCGGACUGCCAUAUGGCCGUAGCUAGAGAGUACGUCGUCAGGACAAACACCGCAUCACCACGCUCAUAUAGGCUGGCAAACAUUUAAACUAGCAAACCUGCCGGGCCACCCCGCUGAGACAUAAAGCCUCCUGGAGCGGACCAACCACCUUCUUCCCCAGCGCGCAUCUCGCUAUUCCAGCACAAUAUGUUAGGUUUUCUCGUUAGUUGUUAAGUCGUUAACUCGACUCGUGGACGCCCGGUUGGAUUAGAGAUAAUGUACGGCAUUUUUGGGAGCCAGCUAGGCUCUGGAUAACUAUUUAAGCGAUUACUGUUGUUUAGAUUGUUAUGUCAUCGUUAUUGCAUCCUGUGCUGUACUAGCAGGGUUAAGUCGCUCGGCCCUCGUUGUAACAUUUGUGACAUCCCAACGAGAACUGGAGUCCUAUCCCUUUCAGUUGGUAUCGAUCUAGGCGAUCCUGCCUAUACGCUUCGCUGGUCAUCUUCGUCAUCUUCGUCUUCGUCAUCUUCGUCUUCCUCAUCCUCCGAUGGCUCUCGUUCCCACGGACUCCAACCGCGACCGCUCCCGUUCGCGGUCCGUGGAACUCCCGGGCAACGUCCACGCGUCUCCGUUCA
rnacentral:lncRNA from 1 species